GGGACGUGCUGACGCGUCAUGAAAGUUGAAUGCAGCUGACUCUUAAUCAGCGGGUCCCAGGUUCGAGCCCUGGUGCGCCCACCA
rnacentral:tRNA from 1 species